ensembl:snoRNA U3 Small nucleolar RNA U3
AAGACUAUACUUUCAGGGAUCAUUUCUAUAGUUUCUAACUUGAGAAAUGUGCUCCUAAAGUGAUCAGUCUCGUCAACCACGAUGAUGAGUCUUGAUAUUCUCCUCUGAGCGUGAAACGGGUUGGAGUUAAUGAUUCAAUUCAUACGACUCCAACCAUUGAUGAUCGUUCUUUGCUUCUUCCGGGAGCAAUGAGGUGGGGAAUAUGAUCAGAGUGGU